CUCACCCUCAGACUUUCGUUCAUAAUAACAGUAGCACCUGGGUUAUUGAGCCAUUGAUAAUCGCUUUGCUAGAAGGCCUUAUAUAAGGCUAUAUUGCUCCUUUGAUUUAAAAUGCAUUUCCUCUCCUUUCCUAGAUUGAUGACUUCCCUAAGUUCUAAACCAGGCUUGCAAAUACCCACUAGCCACGGCAUAUAUAUUGCAAUGGAGAGAAGACAAGUAAUUCAUUUGUUUUAUGUUUUGUCUUAGGGCAUCUGCCACAAAGAAAAAAAUUAUGUGGGUUCAACCAAGUUUAACAACCAUUUAUUGAGGAUCUACUAAGUGUAAAAUUCUCUGCUGGAUACUAUGGGGGAUACAAAGUUGAAAAGAUACAGACCCUACCCUCCUGGAGUCCCAGCAUCCGAUUGGCAGCCUGUCUCAGUGGUUUAUAAGAUGGACUGGGAAUUCCGUGCACUAACAGUUGUGUUAGGACUUGAGGGUUUGGGAAGGAACACUUCAAGUGCAACGACACAGGACUUAAUUUUGAUGCAGGACGGAACUGUUAUUUGUGGGAAGAUGUUACCUAACAACGGUUUUGAAGGAGUGGGCAAGUUGAGAGAGCUCAGAUUCACACUCUAUUGGAGCACAUGUCUCACCUAUACAUCAGAAGUUAGUCCCCGAGAAAAUUUCUUGCCUGCAUAAAUACAUUCUUGUCCCUCAAGAGUGAUUGCUCUGGCCUGCUAGGAUUUCCAUUAAGGGAUGUCACUGACUAUUGAUUUUGCCCAAAUGUGCACUUCUUCUAAUGCAAAGUGAGUUUAUAUUCUGGCUGAACAUCUUGGUACUUUUCAAACUACA
rnacentral:lncRNA from 13 species